ACGGGUGCGUAACGCGUAUGCAAUCUACCUUUUACAGAGGGAUAGCCCAGAGAAAUUUGGAUUAAUACCUCAUAGUAUACAGACUCGGCAUCGAGAUUGUAUUAAAGUCACAACGGUAAAAGAUGAGCAUGCGUCCCAUUAGCUAGUUGGUAAGGUAACGGCUUACCAAGGCUACGAUGGGUAGGGGUCCUGAGAGGGAGAUCCCCCACACUGGUACUGAGACACGGACCAGACUCCUACGGGAGGCAGCAGUGAGGAAUAUUGGACAAUGGGCGCAAGCCUGAUCCAGCCAUGCCGCGUGCAGGAUGACGGUCCUAUGGAUUGUAAACUGCUUUUAUACGAGAAGAAACACUGCUUCGUGAAGCAGCUUGACGGUAUCGUAAGAAUAAGGAUCGGCUAACUCCGUGCCAGCAGCCGCGGUAAUACGGAGGAUCCAAGCGUUAUCCGGAAUCAUUGGGUUUAAAGGGUCCGUAGGCGGUUUAAUAAGUCAGUGGUGAAAGCCCAUCGCUCAACGGUGGAACGGCCAUUGAUACUGUUAAACUUGAAUUAUUAGGAAGUAACUAGAAUAUGUAGUGUAGCGGUGAAAUGC
rnacentral:rRNA from 1 species